AAAGAAUAAUUCUUCUUGAAGUUUGAUGGCUUUUCAUUAUAAUACAGUAUUUUAUUUUAUUCCGUGAGUUAAACCCUCGUUUACCAAGAAAAGUCGAGGAAGCAGAGUUCCAAAGAAAGGGAUCUGCCCGUCGGUGAGGCAUUUGGUCGACGGCCUCUGUCUCUCCAUACGGAUAUACAUACAUAUAUGUAUUAUAGGAGUUUUCAUUGGUAAGAAGGACUUGCACAAUGGCCAACCAGAAGUCCAGAGUAUCUGUAUAUCUUUAUAUUCCCAAUAUCAUUGGAUAUGCAAGAAUUCUUCUGAACUGCGUUGCCUUCUACAUUAGCUAUUCAGACAAAAAGCUUUUCUCAGUUCUCUAUUUUAUAAGCUUUGUCUGUGAUGCCUUGGAUGGGUGGUUUGCUCGGAAAUUCAAUCAAGUUUCAACUUUUGGAGCUGUUCUGGACAUGGUCACAGAUAGGAUUAGCACUGCUUGUCUACUGGUGAUUCUCUCUCAAAUAUAUAGGCCUGGCUUAGUUUUCUUGUCAUUGUUUGCUCUGGAUAUUGCCAGCCAUUGGUUGCAGAUGUACAGUACCUUCUUGGUAGGCAAAGUUAGUCAUAAAGAUGUAAAAGACAGCAAUAAUUGGCUAUUCAAGGCAUACUACGGCAAUCGGAUGUUUAUGGGUUACUGUUGUGUUGCUUGUGAGGUUCUUUACAUAAUCCUAUUUCUUCUUGCAAAGAACCAGAAUGAGAAUCUGACUAAUGUUAUAGCCGAUGCCGCAUAUCAAAGCUCAGUUCUUUUGGUUCUUAUUAUUUUGCUUUUGGUCGGAUGGGCAAUCAAGCAAGCAGUAAAUGUUAUACAGAACGUCUUUUUGUCAGGCUGUGUAUCUAUCAGCUGUGCUUUUGGUUGGUAAGGUUGGUUUGAAGCAGACUGCUACCUUGAUUAUACCAGCUUUGUCAGCAAAUAUAUAGGGUGAAGACUGCUGCAGAUGCAUGUGUGGAUUACGACAUCAACAAAAAACAGAAGCCAUGAUACUGAUACAGAAAUGUGCCCCUGUAGCCGAACUUCUAUCUUCCUGGGCGGCAUUGAGUUCAUUAUUUGUUAAACAAUGAACAUCGUUGAAGCAGCUUUCACAUCUUUGGUGCAUCAUCCUGACUAGAUAAUGUUGACUGACUUAGAAACGGGAAAGGAUUUAACAACGCUUAUGGGUUCUUCUAUAUUUAGAGUGUGGAUUUGUUGCUCCUUUUGUUGGUCCUAGCCUGACUGGUAGCAAAGUACAAGUGCAGUUGUACAUUGUUCCAUAUAGACAGGAUGAAGAUGCUUUCCCUUUUUUUUUUUUUUGGGUGCUAAAUUGUUGAAGAUGCUUUCUAAGCUUGUGAACCUGUAUGAUUCAUUGCCUCACAGGAACUGCAGCUUUUGCAAGAGCCCUUAGUGUAGUAGUAGUAGUUUCUAAAUAGGUUAAAACCAAACCGAUCGAGUAUGCUUAAUUUUCGGUUUGUUGUUUAUUAGACUCAGUUUGGCUCAAUUUUGAUGUAAAAAGAAUUUGAUUUUCA